AUACGGAGGAUCCGAGCGUUAUCCGGAUUUAUUGGGUUUAAAGGGUGCGUAGGUGGUUUGAUAAGUCAGAGGUGAAAGUUUGCAGCUUAACUGUAAAAAUGCCGUUGAAACUGUCGGACUUGAGUGUAAAUGAGGUAGGCGGCAUGCGUGGUGUAGCGGUGAAAUGCCUAGAUAUCACGCAGAACUCCGAUUGCGAAGGCAGCUUACUAAGCUACAACUGACACUGAAGCACGAAAGCGUGGGGAUCAAACAGGAUUAGAUACCCUGGUAGUCCACGCAGUAAACGAUGAUUACUAGCUGUUUGCGAUACACAGUAAGCGGCACAGCGAAAGCGUUAAGUAAUCCACCUGGGGAGUACGCCGGCAACGGUGAAACUCAAAUGAAUUGACGGGG
rnacentral:rRNA from 1 species